rnacentral:misc_RNA from 1 species
AAGUCGUAACAAGGUUUCCGUAGGUGAACCUGCGGAAGGAUCAUUAAUAAUUUGCUGAACCUAGCGUUAGCGAGGUUCUGCGAUCACUUAUAUUUAAAACCCAACUCUUAAAUUGUAUAAUUAUGUAUUUUUUUUUAAUAAAAAUUAAAGAUCACUUUCAACAACGGAUCUCUUGGCUCUC